UGCCCAGGCUAGUCUUGAGCCUCCUGGGCUCAAGUGAUCUGCCCGCUUUGGCCUUCCAAAGUGCUGGGCUCAUAGGCAUGACACUGUGCCUGGACAGAUUUUUGUUAUACUGUUUAGAUAUGAUGGUAACUGAAUGAUCAUGCAAUCUCUGACCAUGUGACAUUCAGGGAUACCAAAAAUGACUUGAGAUGGGCCAAGGGAGAAUUGGAGAAGCAUACUUUGGCUGAAUACUUAGGCCAAAGUAUAAUUUGGAACAUUUCUUUUAAAAAAUCUACUCCCCUAUGCCCCCCACUUGCAGUACCUUACAAUUACAGUUAAUCUAGUAGCAGAUACUGGAUUGGGAUAUUAGGUAUUUACAGACCAAAUGCCCAUUGGGAUAUUACUAGGUAACAGGCAGUUUCACUCUGGUUCAUUGUAGAUUCAUCCAGUAAGCAUUUCUAGAGAACUGCUAUAUGAAAAUAUUGUGGAAAGUAUCAACUUUUUAAACUUUUGAUGUCAUGGCACCUAGAAGAUUAUUUUCUGAUACUCAUAUUCUAAGGGAAUUUUGUUUUCUGAGAUUUGUUUCUGUGGAAUUUCUAGUUCCCCAGUCUGCACUGAAAGCCUAAAUCAAGAGGAUAAUUUGAAAGGUGACCUCACUUUGCCAGAACCGUGGGUCUUCAUGAAAUAAGAGAUUUCAUUUGGUUUUUGUUUUGGUUUGCAUCCUCUCUAACUUUAGGUAGAAAUUGCUGUUAGGGCAAUCACCUACCUCACUAUAUUCCACUCUCUCUUCUGGAUAUUGGUGCUCAGCCCUUUUUUGAACCGCAAACCUUAUUAAUAAAAUAGUUUUCAUUC
rnacentral:lncRNA from 1 species